AACCCGUGCCGAGGACAUUUCCACAGGAGAUCCUUAGACCUAUCCCAUGUCUCAAAAAGAGACUCUAAUUAAAUUUGCACAAAAGAGGAUAUUUCAUCCCUAAGCUU